rnacentral:rRNA from 1 species
UACGGGGGGGGCAAGCGUUGUUCGGAAUUACUGGGCGUAAAGGGCUCGUAGGUGGCCAACUAAGUCGGACGUGAAAUCCCUCAGCUUAACUGGGGAACUGCGUCCGAUACUGGAUGGCUUGAGUUUGGGAGAGGGAUGCGGAAUUCCAGGUGUAGCGGUGAAAUGCGUAGAUAUCUGGAGGAACGCCGGUGGCGAAGGCGGCAUCCUGGACCAACACUGACACUGAGGAGCGAAAGCCAGGGGAGCAAACGGG